rnacentral:rRNA from 1 species
UACGAAGGGGGCUAGCGUUGCUCGGAAUGCCUGGGCGUAAAGGGCGCGUAGGCGGACUGCACAGUCGGGCGUGAAAUUCCUGGGCUUAACCUGGGGACUGCGUCUGAGACGUGUGAUCUAGAGUGAGGAAGAGGGUCGUGGAAUUUCCAGUGUAGAGGUGAAAUUCGUAGAUAUUGGAAAGAACACCGGUGGCGAAGGCGGCGACCUGGUCCUUGACUGACGCUGAGGCGCGAAAGCGUGGGGAGCAAACAGG